UUGUUGAACACAGUGGAAAGAGUAACUUUAAUAAGAGUCGAUACAUGUAAUCACAGCAGUGCAAACUCAACAACAAUCCCGACUUCACGCACUGGCUGACUAAGGGCACAGUCGAGGUGUGGUUCUCACAGACACAGAUGGCAGCUAACAUGUUGCUAAUGGUUGUAAAAAGUGGAGCUCAGAGUUAUUGGACUGUCUGAACCAAGCGCACAGCAAGACAGAUUAUUUGUCUGAUAUUUACGUGAAAAAAUCUCCAAAAGGCUCCAACAGCCCAAACACGGUCCAGAGCUGAAGUUCAGUGACUAAAUUAGCUGAGGGGACAACUGGCAGACAGCUAGAGGCCACACCCCUAAUUCUACAUGACUCCCUGCAGGAGUAAGCCUCUAGUGGACAGUACAGGAACUGCAAUUUUUAGCACUUAGGUAUUGGCUUAAGAUUUAACAUGCUGUGCGUGUAUAAAACAUUACAGCCUCAUAAUGAGAAUAUAUUAAUGUUCUCUGCUGUGUUUUGAUGUCUCUGGUUUGAUGUUCUUCAGUUUCAGACAAGAGACAGAACCGCUGGAUAGGACCUACACAGAGUCACAGCGUGUCGUACCAGCGAGGAAAGGGUGUCGUUCAAAGCACAGACGUUGAGAUGAGAAUGUCCUACCCUGCUCUGGAGAGGCUGACAGUCAAUGACAGCAGAGAACCGUCAUCCAACAGGAACAGUGGCUACACCUUCUGACCAUCUUCAGCAUCAUCAUCAUCCUCUGUUUGUGUGCUUUCAUACGUGAUUAUUUCUGAGUUGAAUUUUUGUGCACACUGCCGAUUAGUCUCAUACUAAGAUCUAUUGUAGAUUUGGGGUUUUUAAA